UGGGCGUAGGAGAUUUGAGGAGAUCUGCUCCUAGUACGAGAGGACCGGAGUGGACGCACCUCUAGUUUCUCAGCUGUUCUACCAAGGGCAUAUGUUGAGUAGCUAUGUGCGGAACGGAUAAACGCUGAAAGCAUCUAAGCGUGAAACCGACUCCAAGAUGAGAUCUCCCAUCCCGUUAAGGGAGUAAGACCCCCGGAAGACCACCGGGUUGAUAGGCUGGGAGUGUAAGCGCGGUAACGUGUUUAGCUGACCAGUACUAAUCGGUCGAGGACUUAACCUU
rnacentral:rRNA from 1 species